rnacentral:rRNA from 1 species
CAGCAGCCACGGUAAUACAGAGGGUGCGAGCGUUAAUCGGAUUUACUGGGCGUAAAGCGUGCGUAGGCGGCUUCUUAAGUCGGAUGUGAAAUCCCUGAGCUUAACUUAGGAAUUGCAUUCGAUACUGGGAAGCUAGAGUAUGGGAGAGGAUGGUAGAAUUCCAGGUGUAGCGGUGAAAUGCGUAGAGAUCUGGAGGAAUACCGAUGGCGAAGGCAGCCAUCUGGCCUAAUACUGACGCUGAGGUACGAAAGCAUGGGGAGCAAACAGGAUUAGAUACCCCUGUAGUCCCUGUCUCUUAUAU